rnacentral:pre_miRNA from 1 species
UAUAUACUCCCUCCGUCCCAAAAAUUUUGUCUUACAUUUAUGUAGAUAUGAAUGUAUCUAGUCACAUUUUAGUAUUUAGAUACAUCCAUUUGUAGACAAAUCUAAGACAAGAAUUUUGGGAUGGAGGGAGUAUCAU